AGUGAACGCUGGCGGCAGGCCUAAUACAUGCAAGUCGAACGGCAGCACAGCAGAGCUUGCUCUGUGGGUGGCGAGUGGCGGACGGGUGAGGAAUACGUGGGAAUCUGCCCAGUCGUGGGGGAUAACGUAGGGAAACUUACGCUAAUACCGCAUGCGCCCUUCGGGGGAAAGCCGGGGGACCUUCGGGCCUGGCGCGAUUGGAUGAGCCCACGUCGGAUUAGCUAGUUGGCGGGGUAAAGGCCCACCAAGGCGACGAUCCGUAGCUGGUCUGAGAGGAUGAUCAGCCACACUGGAACUGAGACACGGUCCAGACUCCUACGGGAGGCAGCAGUAGGGAAUAUUGGACAAUGGGCGCAAGCCUGAUCCAGCCAUGCCGCGUGAGUGAAGA
rnacentral:rRNA from 1 species